rnacentral:rRNA from 1 species
GCAGCCGCCGCGGUAAAACGUAGGAGGCGAGCGUUAUCCGGAUUUACUGGGUGUAAAGCGCGUGCAGGCGGUUUGCUAAGUUGGAUGUGAAAGCUCCUGGCUCAACUGGGAGAGGUCGUUCAAGACUGGCAGACUGGAGAGCAGUAGGGGAAGGUGGAAUUCCGGGUGUAGUGGUGAAAUGCGUAGAUAUCCGGAGGAACACCAGUGGCGAAAGCGGCCUUCUAGACUGCAUCUGACGCUCAGACGCGAAAGCUAGGGGAGCAAACGGGAUUAGAGACCCCGGUAGUCCUAGCCGUAAACGAUGUGAACUUGGCGCUGGAGGGGUCAAACCAUUCAGUGCCGAAGCUAACGCGAUAAGUUCACCACCUGGGGACUACGGCCGCAAGGUUAAAACUCAAAGGAAUUGACGGGGGCCCGCACAAGG